UUAGUACUUUCUCCGUCCAACAAAAGAUGUCUCAAGUGUAUCAAAGUUUGGAUGUAUCUAUUCAUGACUUAGUGUAUUGAUGUAUUCAAAUUUGGUCAAAGUUGAGAUAUCCUUUGUGGACGGAGGGAGUACUUC
rnacentral:pre_miRNA from 1 species